rnacentral:rRNA from 1 species
CAUUACUGAGUUUACGCUCUACAACCCUUUGUGAACAUACCUAUAACUGUUGCUUCGGCGGGUAGGGUCUCCGCGACCCUCCCGGCCUCCCGCCUCCGGGCGGGUCGGCGCCCGCCGGAGGAUAACCAAACUCUGAUUUAACGACGUUUCUUCUGAGUGGUACAAGCAAAUAAUCAAAACUUUUAACAACGGAUCUCUUGGUUCUGGCAUCGAUGAAGAACGCAGCGAAAUGCGAUAAGUAAUGUGAAUUGCAGAAUUCAGUGAAUCAUCGAAUCUUUGAACGCACAUUGCGCCCGCCAGCAUUCUGGCGGGCAUGCCUGUUCGAGCGUCAUUUCAACCCUCAAGCUCUGCUUGGUGUUGGGGCCCUACAGCCGAUGUAGGCCCUCAAAGGUAGUGGCGGACCCUCCCGGAGCCUCCUUUGCGUAGUAACUUUACGUCUCGCACUGGGAUCCGGAGGGACUCUUGCCGUAAAACCCCCCAAUUUUCCAAAGGUUGACCUCGGAUCAGGUAGGAAUACCCGCUGAACUUAAGCAUAUCAA